UACGGGGGGGGGCAAGCGUUGUUCGGAAUUACUGGGCGUAAAGGGCUCGUAGGCGGCCAACUAAGUCAGACGUGAAAUCCCUCGGCUUAACCGGGGAACUGCGUCUGAUACUGGAUGGCUUGAGGUUGGGAGAGGGAUGCGGAAUUCCAGGUGUAGCGGUGAAAUGCGUAGAUAUCUGGAGGAACACCGGUGGCGAAGGCGGCAUCCUGGACCAAUUCUGACGCUGAGGAGCGAAAGCCAGGGGGAGCAAACGGGG
rnacentral:rRNA from 1 species